rnacentral:misc_RNA from 1 species
AACGCACAUUGCGCCCCCUGGUAUUCCGGGGGGCAUGCCUGUCCGAGCGUCAUUACAACCCUCAAGCCUAGCUUGGUGUUGGGCUCCGCCGCCUGGCGGGCCCUAAAGUCAGUGGCGGUGCCGUCCAGCUCCGAGCGUAGUAAUUCUUCUCGCUCUGGAGGCCUGGGCGCGUGCUUGCCAGUAACCCCCCAAUUUUAUCAGGUUGACCUCGGAUCAGGUAGGGAUACCCGCUGAACUUAA